AGUAGAAGCAGAGCACAAUCAGCAUUUGUGGUUGUUAUGCAAGCAAUAGCAAGCUGCCUGGGAAACAGCAUUUUGCCUUCAGUGUGAAAUAAAAUGUAAUACUUAUCCUCUGUUCUUCAAACUUGUAGCACAGGAGAUUGAUGUCACGCUAGGGGUCUGAAUUCAGAGCCACUCUUUUUGUCUGUCUGGAAACAGUCUGGAUUUUUCCCUAAGUAACUGAGCAGUUUGUCCGCGUAGAAGCACCUCCCAGUCCCAAGGAUGCCAGCAGUCCCUUUAUGAUUUCUGAGCAACAUGCAGAAUUUCUGUAUUUAACCAUCCCGCGUAGUGUUGCUCUGUGUGUAUUGGACCAGACCUGGUCACUCAUCCACUGCAGGUGUAAACUUGACUUGUCUGUCCUUCCACAGCCCUCUCCUCCUCUUGUAGGAGGGAGGUACUGCUCCCCAUUGUGUGACCAUGCUGCAUAUGCUACAGAAAUGUCCCAGAGAAAGGGAGAGGGCGAGGACCCACAAUAGCAUUGCGAUGCCAAGAACACAAUGUCCCCGGACGAGGGUGGUGGGCAGUACAAGUGGCUAUCAGAAAGUCAGAGCAAAAUUCAAGAGGCUGAGCACUUCCAAUUAUGAUUGAAAUCUGCCAUUUAGUUCAUCAUGUUUAUUUAGGCAUUAAAAGCAAUUUUCCAAGCACAUGUCUGUCACAUUUAGACACAAUGGGCUAGCUUGUAAUUAGGAAGUAUAUGACCUCACUGGCUUUAAUUGGGAGAAGCCCACAUCCAAUCCAUUUACCAGAUGAUAGAAGGCAACUGGCAUUGGAAGGGAAGUUUGGCGUCAGCUGUAGGACACGUACAAUACCUGCUAUAAUUGCUCCCAAUUCAUCAUCACCCCUUCUACCAUCAGGACUUCGUCAGUGGGUUGUUCAUGAAUUUGUUUGUGUACCAGUGCAAGAGAACAAGAGACAAAUACUGCAUCAUAGAGAAGGAUGUUUAUCAGAGGCCAGGAGAGAAAAAUAAAUAAAUACCAGAAAUGGUAAAUGCUGCUUUGGCAAGGGAGCAGGGCAGGCAUGGGGCCAAAGCCAGGUCCAGCCUAAAGGCUAUAACUCUGCUAACUUUACAUCUGCCUGUGCUAGGUCAGAAUGCAAUCCAUACUAGACACUGGGGCACACUGUAGCUUAAGUAUACAAGAAAGAAGAUAUUUAGGGCUGCAGCAUCCUAGCAGGAGGCUGUUAUAAGGAGAAGUCAAUUUAUGGUAGAAACAUACAAUCAAAAAAAAAAAAAACCUCCAAAUUCAGCUAUCUGUAUCUUAUUGCAUAGGAAGUACAAUUCUGUCCUGGUU
rnacentral:lncRNA from 7 species